rnacentral:rRNA from 1 species
GAUGAACGCUGGCGGCGUGCCUAAUACAUGCAAGUAGAACGCUGAAGGAGGAGCUUGCUCUUCUGGAUGAGUUGCGAACGGGUGAGUAACGCGUAGGUAACCUGCCUGGUAGCGGGGGAUAACUAUUGGAAACGAUAGCUAAUACCGCAUGACAACAGUUAUUGCAUGAUAACUGUUUAAAAGGGGCAACUGCUCCACUACCAGAUGGACCUGCGUUGUAUUAGCUAGUUGGUGAGGUAACGGCUCACCAAGGCGACGAUACAUAGCCGACCUGAGAGGGGGGUCGGCCACACUGGGAACGAGACACGGCCCAGACUCCUACGGGAGGCAGCAGGAGGGAAUCUUCGGCAAUGGACGGAAGUCUGACCGAGCAACGCCGCGUGAGUGAAGAAGGGUUUCCGAUCGGAAAGCUCUGUUGUAAGAGAAGAACGAGUGUUAGAGUGGAAAGUUCACGCUGUGACGGUAUCUAACCAGAAAGGGACGGCUAACUACGUG